rnacentral:lncRNA from 1 species
UUCUUCAGGAACAACAAGGCGCCAACUAUUCCAACCAUGUCGGUAGCUUGCUAGCCAACAUAAAAGUGAAAGAUUGACGCUUUAGACCAUCUUAAUGUACAUUAUCUAAUCUCAGUGUUUUAAACACAGUUCUGUUGACGUAUUAACUGGUUAACUGUAACCUAAUUUGCAAACUUGUUAAAGAUUUAUGCUGAGCCUAGCACUAAGCUAGUCGCUAAUGCUAACUAGCUAGCUAACAUCCCUGACCAUGAGUUCAUUAAAGUACUCAUCCCUGCUAUAGAAGAGGAGGUCUGCUGUUUGGAGAAAGAAGUUCUGGCACUGAACAUUGAAGAAGAGGAUGAGGUUACAGUGAAAGAAGAGAAAGAACCUUUUAGAAUGAAAAAGGAGGAAGAGGAGGCUGUUAUAGUGAAAGAACAUUUCAGAAUGAAAAAGGAGGAAGAGGAGACUGUUAUAGUGAAGGAAGAAGAUGCUGUUAUAGUGAAAGAACAUUUCAGAAUGAAAAAGGAGGAAGAGGAAACUGUUAUAGUGAAAGAAGAGAAUGAACCUUUUAGAGAAGAAGAGGAUGCUAUCUCAAUAAAGGUGAAGGAGGAAGAUGUUUUUGGAGUGAAAGAGGAAGAGACAGAAUAUCAGAUUAACACCAGAGAGAGACAUGACUAUGGUGGAUCCUCUGGGGAGCCUCAACAACAUCCUGAUGCUGACGAGGCAGAGAAGAGUCUCUCCAGAUCAGAACACCAGAUGGACAACGCUAGCCCUUCCUCUCUCCAGGAGUCCCGGUGUCGUGCCUCUCCCGGUAGCACCUUACUGCUGGGUAUGAAGAGGUUGUCUGUGCUGCUGGUGGACUGCAGGAAAACAACAGGGCUGAGUGGAACUGUGAGAGGAGGAGAAGAGAAGAAAGGAUCAGAUUUGACACAUCAAAGUAAGUGCUGUAGUUUAGUUUGAAUAAAUACAAUAGAUCUGCCCACUGGUGUCUGUUACCAGGAAGAUAGACUGGUGUCUGUUACCAGGAUAACCAGCAGAGAUCUGUUAGUUGACGGGAAGAUAGACUGGUGGAAAUGGAUGUUAUGAAUAUCAUAACACUGAAAAGGAUUCUGCCAAUGAAAAGAGAGAAACCAAUUGACCAUAUAAAACCUUGAUGAAAGUUAGCUUUAGAGAGAAAGUUUCAAUGAUCCAAUGUAAGGUGCUUGUUUUACAAAAACUUUUCCUUAAAACAUUAUGGAUGUUACAUAGCCUGUCCCAGUCAACACCCCUAUCUUUACAAGACUUCUAGAACAGGCAAACUAAACUCAAGACUUUGGUAAUUAAUUAACUACUACUGGAGGAAAGCUGUGAUCAGGCUGCCUACUCAAGCAAAAGCUUCAAACUGUAACCAGUGCCGGCAACCUUGUUCAGGUUAUCAAUCAACCUACCAGGGUAGUUACAAACAGUAGAGGAAUGAAAUCAUCAACAUGGUUUGAUCAUAUCUUUACUAAUGCUGCAGAAAUGGGUUUUAAAGCAGUAUCCAGAUCCAUCAGAUGUAGUGAUCACAAUAUAGCACCAUGUCUAGGAAAACCACUGUUCCAAAGGCUGGGACUAAUAUUGUGUAUAAGAGGUCAUACAUUUUUUUGUAGUGAUUCCUAUGUUAUUGAUGUAAAUAAUAUUUGUUGGUCUGUGGUGUGUAAUGAUGAGCAACCAGAAAUUGCCCUUGUAAAAACUGUUAAAUCCACGUGAAUUGAUGAGUAAUUAAAAAAUGGUAUGAUAAAGAGGGAGGGAAAAGAGAUGGCAAAUAGGUCUGGAGAGAGAAUAAAGUAGAUGUCACGGGUCAAAAUUUUGAUUGAUGACCCUAUGUGAACCUAUGUGAACUCUAUGUGAACCCUAUGUAGUGAUGACGUGUGCAUGUCUUCUGGUCAGGCAAGCCUGGUUAGGUGGGGGCUAUGGGGUGAGUAAGGGUCCAUUUGACAGGCCGUUAAUGAUUGAUGACCCAAGCCUGAUUUAUGACCCUAUGUAAUGAUUUAUGACCCUAUGUCAUGUAGAAGGGUGUAUGCCCAGGGGGGUUGGUGGGGUUGAGUAAGUGACCAUGUGUCAGGUCAACCUGUUACUGUUUCUCACGGUUUGGGUUGGUUAAGGCCCCUUAUAAAGCCGCUGAACAAUACCUGUUUAAGAGUGC